CCUACGGGAGGCAGCAGUGAGGAAUAUUGGUCAAUGGACGAGAGUCUGAACCAGCCAAGUAGCGUGAAGGAUGACUGCCCUAUGGGUUGUAAACUUCUUUUAUAUGGGAAUAAAAUGUUCCACGUGUGGGAUUUUGUAUGUACCAUAUGAAUAAGGAUCGGCUAACUCCGUGCCAGCAGCCGCGGUAAUACGGAGGAUCCGAGCGUUAUCCGGAUUUAUUGGGUUUAAAGGGAGCGUAGGUGGCUUGUUAAGUCAGUUGUGAAAGUUUGCGGCUCAACCGUAAAAUUGCAGUUGAAACUGGCAGGCUUGAGUGCAGUAGAGGUAGGCGGAAUUCGUGGUGUAGCGGUGAAAUGCUUAGACAUCACGAAGAACUCCGAUUGCGAAGGCAGCUCACUGUACUGCAACUGACACUGAGGCUCGAAAGUGUGGGUAUCAAACAGGAUUAGAUACCCUUGUAGUC
rnacentral:rRNA from 1 species